GAGUCAGAGUGGAAUAGUUCAGUUUAGGUUUGACUUCUGUAAGUGCUAGAACGUCUAAGCAACGACGAAUCUAAAGUAGUCCUGAUGCAAAAACUAGGAGUGAUACUGUCAUAUUGUUUUCACAAAUUCAGCAGAGCUUACAUAGAUCAUAGGAUGAUCAAUUACGCAGCAAAUUCCUUUGAAAGCACUUGAGUCUAGUGUAAAGUUGGAAGCUAUAGUUCACUUCAACAAGCCAAAACUUAACUGUCAUUUAACUGAAUUGAAUUUAUGGCUGUGGCUGGCUGCUCUGAGAGUUUUCCUUCUGUUGUACAAAAACCUACUGAACUCCUGUAGUAAUUCUGACAGAUUGUUUGCAACAAUCCAGCAUUUUGCAGGUCAGCAGUCAAUGGUUUUAUCAUUGACGCCCCCCCCCCACACACUCCUAAAUAUUAGCUCUAAAUCUACCUCAAUCUUUCAUGAAGAACAACGUAGAGAGACUCCAUGGAAACAAAGAAAUCACACGGACUAGUCAGAAUCAAUACCCUGGAGCUCUUCUGGCAAUCACACUUGUUGAGCUCAGUCUGAACCUCUGCUGUCAUCACACACAGGGUUUUGGGGUCUUAUUCAGCUGACAUCUGACAGAAUAUGUUGUUAAAUACAUCAGAAACCCACCUAAAAUACUAAAGACUGAGGUGCAUAAGGUCGUGCUGGGCGGUAUAUCUCAGAUUGGUGUGAAAUCGCCGCCUAACAGGCGGGAAAUUGGCUGUGUUAUUUUUGGAGAGGAGUCAUGGGGGACCGUCGGACCAUCAUCCUCUCUCUAAUAAGCAGGUGAUGGAGGCAUAUCGAGGGAGGGAGAGAUGGUGUCUCAAACACAGCGCUCUAGCAGAUGUGCAUAUAAGAGGGAACACAGCCCUGUGAGAGGUAGGCAAGUAAAAGCAGAGUGUGUGUUGUAGAAACUAUCAAAAUAAUAAGACAGAUUUGAAUAACGUCUGUUGGAAGAGCUGGACUCAGCCUGGUCUGUUGGUGCUCAAGUUCAUAUUGUGAAAGUGAACUGGGCUGCAUUGUUUGUGCCCACACACAGAAGUGUCACAAAUAAUCCGAUUUUUACUUAGAAACUAGAAUCUGUCUGAUAUAUUCCCCUCAGCACUGAUGCAUCUGUCCACAAAAAUAUGGAAACAGUUCUUAUAGAGGAUGUUUAGUCAGUUUGCUUUGUGGCAACAACAAAAAGUAAUACACUAAGAAAAAACAAAUCGGUAAUUAGUAGCAUUGCAUCAAUUUCUCUAAUGAUCACACUUCAUUAAUCAGGUUUCAACAUUCUUGUUUUGCAGAUGACGGAUCAGCUCUGUGAGAUGGAGCCUUGCUAUGCAUCAUGUUUUAAACUAUUCAAUAAAUUUCCUGCUGGAUUGAGAUCCAGAAUGUCUGCAAGCCAUGUCAUGUUGAGAUGAUCUGCAUUUCUCCAAAAAAACCAUGGAUGCUCCAUGCUGAUUAUUAUAAAAUAUAUAAAAAUAUCAAUCUUGAAGAAAAAAACGUAAAAGCUGCUUUUUUGUUUUCAGAAGCAACUCGUAAGAGAACAACAUCUUACAAGCUGCUGUAGUUUUCCAUUUGCACAAUAAGGCUUCUUAGAUAAAUUAUUUCAGAUUCCAGGCAAUAUAAACAGAACAGCAGUGCAGCUCUGGACAUAGUGACUGUAAAGCAUGGGUUCAUGCACAGAUUAUACAAGGGGGGUAAAUUGAGGC